rnacentral:rRNA from 1 species
AUGUCAAGGUGUGUCACGGUUCAGAAUGAAGAGAUUGACCAAGAUGCUACGUCAAGGUGUGUCACGCUUCAGAAUGAAGAGAUUAAUCAAGAUGAUCCAUUAAGAAGGUGUGUCACGCUUCAAAAUGAAGAGAUUAAUCAAGAUGAUCCGUUAAGAAGGUGCGUCACGCUUCAGAAUGUUGUGUCAUGGUCUACUGUGUGGCUUCGCAUCUGGACCGGACCUGCAAACUCCUUCAUCAAGUGGUUCUUUCUGCUGGUACUACUACCUCUAUUUCUGAGCUAUUUUUGUUUUUACUGGUGGUAA